AUGGACAAGAGUAUGGGUCUGGACAUCGAUGGAGGAGACAUGGAGGAGCUGAUGAGGGAAGCACUUGCUGGACUCCAGAGUGAGCAGCAGAAGCUAAGAGACAAAGAAAAGAGGAAGCCCCUGAAGGAGAUCUCCCGUAUCCUAAAGGAGGGGACUCUCCCUGCAAACAGUAACCUUUCCCUCACCUUCCUGUCCUCCACGCCAGAAAUCACCUCAAGCAAGAAUAACUGGACGAGAAGAAUCGAUCGUUUUCACUUCAUAGAAAUGCUACUUGAGGAGUCCUGGAGGAUGUGA
rnacentral:lncRNA from 1 species